rnacentral:rRNA from 1 species
UACGUAGGGGGCAAGCGUUGUCCGGAAUUAUUGGGCGUAAAGCGCGCGCAGGCGGCUGUUUAAGUCUGGUGUUUAAACCUUGGGCUCAACCUGGGGUCGCACUGGAAACUGGAUGGCUUGAGUACAGAAGAGGAAAGUGGAAUUCCACGUGUAGCGGUGAAAUGCGUAGAGAUGUGGAGGAACACCAGUGGCGAAGGCGACUUUCUGGGCUGUAACUGACGCUGAGGCGCGAAAGCGUGGGGAGCGAACAGG